UGCAGAGUGACGAGGAAGUGCAGUUAGAAACAAGCCACACGUUAUCGAGAACACAGCACCCGUUAUCGGGGGAGCGCUGAGAAACCUGACAAUCUGUCAAGGAUACACACUUAUUCUGAAUUAUCUCUGAAUAAUUUAUGAGCACACUCUUAUUCUUUCUACCUUAAGCCUCAAAGCUAUGCUGGGUGGAAGAGAAGCCAUAUGGCAAAUAUCCGAAGUCAAAUAAUCCUGCUCCCUGCAGGUGAAAAAUAAUUUAUUUGGUUUUCCAUAAGACACAAAUUAGGGGUGUAUAUCAGAAGACAGGUUCUCUGAAAGUUGCUUAAAGCUCUGAUGAGCACUGAAUGAUAAUGGUGUCUUGCUUUCCUGGACACAGCACUUUCUCGGAGUCUCCUUAGGUUCUAUUACAUAUUUUAAAAUUAUAUUUGUGUGGGUAUGUGGAUGUGUGGGUGUGUGUAUGUGAUUGUGUGCAUAUAUGGGUGUGUGGCCAUGUGACUGUGUGCAUAUAUAGAUGUGUGGGUAUGUGAUUGUGUGCAUAUGUGGAUGUGUGCUGAUCUGCAGCCCAACCUUGGCUUCUACAUGUAAAGUAGAUACAGUGUAGGUGAACCUGGUCCAUGAAAGUAUCCAAAUGUUUUCCUAAACAGACUUGCAGGCAUCAGGAGACAAGCUGCUUCUUAAGACAUGGCUCCGGCCUCAUGGACACAGAUUACUGGACACCUAUAAUGUGCCAAUCACUCGUACAGAUGCUAUAAACACAGGAGUUACAACCCAUGUAUGCUGACUGGAAGAUUAGAUUUACAUCCAGGUGCUCUGUAAAGUUUCUCAGGGAUUGCCUCUAUGAUGAUGGUGACGUGAGUCGGGGGUUGGGGGAGAGGACAAGGCCAUGUGGACCGUGGCAGGGAAAAUACUUUAGGAAGACCAAAUAGCACAGGUAUAUCCCAAACUUGGAAGCGAGCCAAAGCUCUGUGUGUGUGUGUGUGUGUGUGUGUGUGUGUGUGUGUGUGUGUGUGUGUGUGUGUCACAGCAAUGGGGCUGGGAAUGAUUUAAUCAGAGACAGUGCAGACUGCGGGGGUCUGCCAAAGGCAAAUGGUUCAGGAUGGAUCUCUGUAUCUGUCCUCAGCCAAGCCGAGCUAACUCAUUCAAAAGGCUAGGUUGUCUCCCUCCUGAAGUCUCUUCCUGCAGAGGCAAGCAGAUUGCCCCAAGUCACCUGGCAGCUGUGCGGCACAGCCUCCCCUCUGGACUCGGGGCUGGUGGGACUGCAGCCUGUUCACCCACCAGCUAACACACCCAUCACCACCACUCCAGUUGCAGCCUCCAGCCACAGGAUAAAUGGGGGACCCAGAAGACAGCCUAGCUCAGGAUAAAGGAGGAUCCUUUGUGCAACAUCUGGAACUCGAAAGUGCCAGUGAGCUGUCCUGCCUUCUUCUGGUCCAGCCCAGUCAUUUCUGAGACUUUGACUAUAAGCAUUCAAAAGUAUGAUCAAGGGGAGGGACUGAGAACUCCAACAUGGUGAUGCUUCAACAAAAAAUUGGGUAAUGUUGAAUUAUUAUUUAUUCACACCUGGUUUCCUGGUCAUCUGACACCACUGCUUGCUGUGGGAUGGUCUGUUUGUCAAAUGUGUUGCUGAUUGGUCAAUGAAUAAAUCACUGAUUGGUCAGUGGCCAGGCAGGAAGUAUAGGCGGGACUAACAGAGAGGAGAAUUGAGAGAACAGGAAGCUGGGUGAGGGAGACACUGCCAGCCGCCAUCAGGACAAGGAAGAUGUAAAGUACCGGUAAGCCACAAGCCACGUGGCAAGGUAUAGAUUAAUAGAAAUGGAUUAAUUUAAGCUGUAAGAACAGUUAGCAAGAAGCCUGCCACAGCCAUACAGUUUGAAACCAAUAUAAGUCUCUGUGUUUACUUGGUCGGGUCUGAGAGGUUGUGGGACUGGCGGGUGUCAGAGAUUUGUCCUGACUGUGGGCCAGGCAGGAAAACUCAAGCAACAAAUGGCGUCCAACGUGGUGGCAAGAGUUUCCACCUAAAACCUGAGUAAAAAGAUUCUAAAACGGAGCUAAAAACAGUUCCUAAUUGUCUCUCUCAAAUGAGCGGCAGCUGCCGGUUUGAGCUACUGGCGGGUUCCUGGCGUGUGCGCUUGGCCUGCAGUAUGGCGGGAAUGAGGCCUCUGCAAGUGGCACAUUAAGCUGCGUGGUGGAUUUAGCCUUUGGUAGUACAAAACAAAAAAAAAUAGGUUUCUGGGCUACACGCUGCUUGGAUAAAAGCAUAGACCCACUACUUCUGAGAGUUGAUGGCUCCCAGAGCUGGUGGAAAACGUAUCACCGCCAUGUUGGGAAGCUAAAGUGGGCGGAGCCAGCAGCGCCAGCGCCAUUUCAGGCUUAAAAGGCUACAGUUCAAAGCAAUAGGCUCAAGCUAAUAUAAAAAAAUAAGCCAUGUAAAGAUGGCUACCACACAGAGAAUCUGGAUUAUGUUCUCUUUGAUAUUCGUAACUAAAGAAAAACAUUUGAUUACAAAAGCUAUUGAGUUAUACCAAAAUGUAUAUUUUAAAGGUACCUUGACUUCAAAAUUUGGAUGUAAGGAUAUGUUGCUUUGGAAAGGAGGCUCUGCUUUUAUUUCCACAGAAAGCCAGAGGCUAUGGAUUUGUUCCAGAUUAAGACACAUCAGGUUUGACCAGCCAAGACCACCUGAAAGGUCUCCGAUGACACCAUGGCCCAGAUGAUCCAACAUCCAGAACCGUUUCAAGGCAACUGGCUCAGAUGAUACAGCCUCACGGACUACUCCAUGAUCCUAAAAUUUUCUUUGUUUCCCCAGAAGAUACAGCGCCCCCUCCAGCAGGAAGUAGUAAGAGAAGCUACGCCCAAAUUCCCAAAUAUACCAAGCUGACUUUGGAGAUGUGUAACGGUUAAAACCUUCCUUUUUAAGAAAAGAAAAGGAACAUGGGAAAUGAAAUCAUCUACAGACAAAGAACCUUGAUAAGAAAAAUAGCAGAUUUCCAUCAGCAGCACCUUAGGAUCCAAUCUAAUAUCAUGGAGCCAUCCUCCUCCAAGAAGAUCUCAGCCAUCUGCAACUUGUAUAAUCCUGUACACUGUUCCACAGUCAGGAUCAUGGAAGUGGCAAGGAGUUUGCUGUUCACACUGAACAUCUGUGCCUCCACCAAUGGGACAGGCCCAGCAAAUUCUUAGGUAGGGAGCAUUUUCUACAAAUCAGGGAGCAUAGUUGAAUCUUUUGCAAAUGGACAUCAAAGCAUCACCUUCUAGAUGGUAACUCUUAAGUGAAUAAAUACCAAGUCAGGAAAAGGCAAGGGUGGAAAAUGAUGACAGAUUGGCCGUAAGCAAAUGAAGAAAGCAGAGACCGACUUCAGAAGAGGACUGUACUCCCACCCCGUCUGAUUUCUCAUAUGCCCGUGCUCGUCAAUAGACAUGUGGAAUGGGAAGACAGCCGGAGGGGUCUGCCGAGUAGCAGAGACUGCAGUAACACUGUACAAAUGAAGCAUAAUAAGGAAUGCCGUGUUCUUCUCUAAAUGUACAUUUAAAAGUGAAAUGGUACAGCUCAAAAGUAUGAUUUAUGGCUGCUGGGGAAACAGAAGAUACCUCUCACAAAAAUCACUCUGUUCAUUCAUCAGAAUCAGAAAUUAAAAGUUUAUUUUGUUUUUA